rnacentral:rRNA from 1 species
GAGUUUGAUCUUGGCUCAGAACGAACGCUGGCGGCAGGCUUAACACAUGCAAGUCGAACGCGUGUAGCAAUACACGAGUGGCGCACGGGUGAGUAACACGUGGAUAUCUGCCUUUUGGUUCGGAAUAACCCUGGGAAACUAGGGCUAAUACCGGAUGGUUCCUACGGGAUAAAGAUUUAUCGCCAAAAGAUGAGUCCGCGUACGAUUAGCUAGUUGGUGAGGUAAUGGCUCACCAAGGCGACGAUCGUUAGCUGGUCUGAGAGGACGAUCAGCCACACUGGGACUGAGACACGGCCCAGACUCCUACGGGAGGCAGCAGUGGGGAAUAUUGGACAAUGGGGGCAACCCUGAUCCAGCCAUGCUGCGUGAGUGAUGAAGGCC